rnacentral:sRNA from 1 species
GCCUCUUUUCUCAAGCGGCGGCAGCCGCUGCAGCAACGCAUCGCGCUGCCACAGCAGUAGCAGACGCCGCUACCGGCGGCGUCUGCUGCUGCUUUUAACAGCGGCGGAUGCCGCUGCUACUUUUAGCAGCGGUGUCUGCCGUAGCAGUCGCAUCUGCCGCCGGUAUUGGCGCCAUCGCCGGCAGCAACUGUUGCUGCCGGCAUCAACGUAUAUUUAAAUUUUUUUU